AUGAACGCUAGCUACAGGCUUAACACAUGCAAGUCGAGGGGCAGCAUGGUCUUAGCUUGCUAAGGCCGAUGGCGACCGGCGCACGGGUGAGUAACACGUAUCCAACCUGCCGUCUACUCUUGGACAGCCUUCUGAAAGGAAGAUUAAUACAAGAUGGCAUCAUGAGUCCGCAUGUUCACAUGAUUAAAGGUAUUCCGGUAGACGAUGGGGAUGCGUUCCAUUAGAUAGUAGGCGGGGUAACGGCCCACCUAGUCUUCGAUGGAUAGGGGUUCUGAGAGGAAGGUCCCCCACAUUGGAACUGAGACACGGUCCAAACUCCUACGGGAGGCAGCAGUGAGGAAUAUUGGUCAAUGGGCGAGAGCCUGAACCAGCCAAGUAGCGUGAAGGAUGACUGCCCUAUGGGUUGUAAACUUCUUUUAUAAAGGAAUAAAGUCGGGUAUGGAUACCCGUUUGCAUGUACUUUAUGAAUAAGGAUCGGCUAACUCCGUGCCAGCAGCCGCGGUAAUACGGAGGAUCCGAGCGUUAUCCGGAUUUAUUGGGUUUAAAGGGAGCGUAGAUGGAUGUUUAAGUCAGUUGUGAAAGUUUGCGGCUCAACCGUAAAAUUGCAGUUGAUACUGGAUAUCUUGAGUGCAGUUGAGGCAGGCGGAAUUCGUGGUGUAGCGGUGAAAUGCUUAGAUAUCACGAAGAACUCCGAUUGCGAAGGCAGCCUGCUAAGCUGCAACUGACAUUGAGGCUCGAAAGUGUGGGUAUCAAACAGGAUUAGAUACCCUGGUAGUCCACACGGUAAACGAUGAAUACUCGCUGUUUGCGAUAUACAGCAAGCGGCCAAGCGAAAGCGUUAAGUAUUCCACCUGGGGAGUACGCCGGCAACGGUGAAACUCAAAGGAAUUGACGGGGGCCCGCACAAGCAGUGGAGUAUGUGGUUUAAUUCGAAGCAACGCGAAGAACCUUACCAAGUCUUGACAUCCUUCUGACCGGUACUUAAUCGUACCUUCUCUUCGGAGCAGGAGUGACAGGUGGUGCAUGGUUGUCGUCAGCUCGUGUCGUGAGAUGUUGGGUUAAGUCCCGCAACGAGCGCAACCCUUAUCAUUAGUUGCUACGCAAGAGCACUCUAAUGAGACUGCCGUUGACAAAACGGAGGAAGGUGGGGAUGACGUCAAAUCAGCACGGCCCUUACGUCCGGGGCUACACACGUGUUACAAUGGGGGGUACAGAGGGCCGCUACCACGCGAGUGGAUGCCAAUCCCCAAAACCUCUCUCAGUUCGGACUGGAGUCUGCAACCCGACUCCACGAAGCUGGAUUCGCUAGUAAUCGCGCAUCAGCCACGGCGCGGUGAAUACGUUCCCGGGCCUUGUACACACCGCCCGUCAAGCCAUGGGAGCCGGGGGUACCUGAAGUGCGUAACCGCGAGGAGCGCCCUAGGGUAAAACUGGUGACUGGGGCU
rnacentral:rRNA from 1 species